CAAACCUAUAUUGGAAAAGGAAUUUUCAUUUGGUAUAAAGUGUAAUGCCUCAUCAUAUUCUUCAACAUUAUCAACCCAUAUUCGGCUCACUGCUGAGCUCGAGUCUCCUCUCAGAAUAGGAGGUGUUAGGCACCACGGUAGGAGUCCACCACGGUAACCCAAAUCGGAUUGACAGACUUCACACACGCAAAGAAUAAAGAAAAUUCUCAGGUAUGCAGGUUUCCUCACGAUGUUUUCCUUCACCGUUUGAGACACGUGAUAUUUCAUUUCUUAAAAUGCACACAACUGAAAAGUUGGAGGUGCAUGCCCCGGACCGGAUUUGAUCCCACACCCUCCGGAAUCGAAGGCAGAGGUCGUAUCCACUGGGCUAUCACGACCCUGUGUAAUGCCUACCCUAGUUAAAAACUUUGUGCAAGCUACAGCAAUACUGCUUGGUAGCUGUAAUAAGCACAGCGGUAGUAUUUCCCCAUACGAGUCUUUGUCAUAAAGAGCUACGCAGUUUUCUUAUUACGUUAUUAAAGUUUUUAAUGGGUAAUACCGUUGGGUAAUUCCAGCAAUGUAUAUCCUAUUUUAAUUUCAAUUGUAAUUAAGGAAGUAGGUAAAUCAUUCGAAGGCGCCAUCUCCUCAUUUCAGUAAAUUUAUUUAUUAAUCGUCAUUGACAUUAUAGCAAUCAAAUGAGCAACUAAUUGCUACUUUGAAUCGUAUAAAUUGAAUUUGAAUAUAUUUUUUGCAUCAAAUCUUUACUGCAAGGGAAAGGACGAGAUGAAAUACAUAAUCAUCUUCACGGCAUUGGUAGCGCUCGUCACCGGCGACGCGCACUGGGACGAAUCCGGAAAAUACCGGAUCGUGGACGACGAUGUCGCCGUCAAAGUGACCAUACCGGACGACCCGGUCGAGUUCGUCCAUGUCCCGUUGCAUGCGAUCUGGCCAGAUGCUUUCCGGUAUCCGCUGUUGGGACGACCGGUCGUUUUUCCAGUUAUAUCGCCAGUUGUAGCGAAAGUUGAGAGCCCCUACCAUUAUUCGUAUAAGCAAGUGACCAAAUUAUAACCUAUGAAUAAAAUGUUGGAAAACUGGAA